rnacentral:rRNA from 1 species
AUGUCUCCCCACCCGUGGAAUAAAACCAGUCGUCUCAGUCUUCUCGGCUCGAAAGAAAAAGGAGGAGCGGGCGAGAGCGGCGGCGGCGCCGACGCCGAUAGGGAAGAACUAGGCGACGGCGAGGGGCCGGAGCGGGCGAUCUCUCCAAGUCAGCAGCAGAUCUGCGACCCUCUUCUUCCAUCCCCGGCGCGAGCUCGGCGGCCGCACCAACCUACUCCGGUGGCCCUCCCCAACGUUUCUAUGCCGGCCAGCUUCACCGCCUCACAGCUGCAGCAAGACCCCGCUUGGGGCAGCAUCGUGAAGACUAAGGUAUAUUAA